UAGUAACUGCGAGUGAAGAGGGAAAAGCUCAAAUUUAAAAUCUGGCGGGCUCUGCUCGUCCGAGUUGUAAUCUGGAGAAGCGUUUUCCGCGUCGGACCGUGCAUAAGUCUCCUGGAACGGAGCGUCAUAGAGGGUGAGAAUCCCGUCCAUGGCACGGACCGCCGAUGCUUUGUGAUACGUUUUCAAAGAGUCGAGUUGUUUGGGAAUGCAGCUCAAAACGGGUGGUAAAUUCCAUCUAAAGCUAAAUAUUGGCGAGAGACCGAUAGCGAACAAGUACCGUGAGGGAAAGAUGAAAAGCACUUUGGAAAGAGAGUUAAACAGUACGUGAAAUUGUUGAAAGGGAAACGCUUGAAGUCAGUCGCGUCCGACGGAACUCAGCCUUGCUUCGGCCUGGUGUACUUUCUGUCGGACGGGUCAACAUCAGUUUUGACCGGUGGAAAAAGGUAGGGGGAAUGUAGCGCCGCCUCGGUGGCGUGUUAUAGCCCCUUGCUGUAUGCAUCGGUCGGGACUGAGGACCGCAGCACGCCUUUUUGGCCGGGGGUUCGCCCUACGUACCGUGCUUAGGAUGUUGGCAUAAUGGCUUUAAGCGACCCGUCUUGAAACACGGACCAAGGAGUCCAACAUGCUUGCGAGUGUUCGGGUGGAAAACCCCUGCGCGUAAUGAAAGUAACAGUUGGGAACCUCCGCAAGGGGGUGCACCGACGCCCGGCCCUGAAGUUCUCUGACGGUGCUGCGGUAGAGCAAGUAUGCUGGGACCCGAAAGAUGGUGAACUAUGCCUGAAUAGGGCGAAGCCAGAGGAAACUCUGGUGGAGGCUCGUAGCGAUUCUGACGUGCAAAUCGAUCGUC
rnacentral:rRNA from 1 species